rnacentral:rRNA from 1 species
UGGGGAAUAUUGGACAAUGGGCGCAAGCCUGAUCCAGCCAUGCCGCGUGUGUGAAGAAGGUCUUUUGGUUGUAAAGCACUUUAAGCGAGGAGGAGGCUACUGGUAUUAAUACUACCGGAUAGUGGACGUUACUCGCAGAAUAAGCACCGGCUAACUCUGUGCCAGCAGCCGCGGUAAUACAGAGGGUGCGAGCGUUAAUCGGAUUUACUGGGCGUAAAGCGUGCGUAGGCGGCUUUUUAAGUCGGAUGUGAAAUCCCUGAGCUUAACUUAGGAAUUGCAUUCGAUACUGGGAAGCUAGAGUAUGGGAGAGGAUGGUAGAAUUCCAGGUGUAGCGGUGAAAUGCGUAGAGAUCUGGAGGAAUACCGAUGGCGAAGGCAGCCAUCUGGCCUAAUACUGACGCUGAGGUACGAAAGCAUGGGGAGCAAACAGG